rnacentral:rRNA from 1 species
UUGAACGCUGGCGGCAGGCCUAACACAUGCAAGUCGAGCGGUAGCACAGAGAGCUUGCUCUCGGGUGACGAGCGGCGGACGGGUGAGUAAUGUCUGGGAAACUGCCUGAUGGAGGGGGAUAACUACUGGAAACGGUAGCUAAUACCGCAUAACGUCGCAAGACCAAAGUGGGGGACCUUCGGGCCUCAUGCCAUCAGAUGUGCCCAGAUGGGAUUAGCUAGUAGGUGGGGUAACGGCUCACCUAGGCGACGAUCCCUAGCUGGUCUGAGAGGAUGACCAGCCACACUGGAACUGAGACACGGUCCAGACUCCUACGGGAGGCAGCAGUGGGGAAUAUUGCACAAUGGGCGCAAGCCUGAUGCAGCCAUGCCGCGUGUGUGAAGAAGGCCUUCGGGUUGUAAAGCACUUUCAGCGGGGAGGAAGGCGAUAAGGUUAAUAACCUUGUCGAUUGACGUUACCCGCAGAAGAAGCACCGGCUAACUCCGUGCCAGCAGCCGCGGUAAUACGGAGGGUGCAAGCGUUAAUCGGAAUUACUGGGCGUAAAGCGCACGCAGGCGGUCUGUCAAGUCGGAUGUGAAAUCCCCGGGCUUAACCUGGGAACUGCAUUCGAAACUGGCAGGCUAGAGUCUUGUAGAGGGGGGUAGAAUUCCAGGUGUAGCGGUGAAAUGCGUAGAGAUCUGGAGGAAUACCGGUGGCGAAGGCGGCCCCCUGGACAAAGACUGACGCUCAGGUGCGAAAGCGUGGGGAGCAAACAGGAUUAGAUACCCUGGUAGUCCACGCCGUAAACGAUGUCGAUUUGGAGGUUGUGCCCUUGAGGCGUGGCUUCCGGAGCUAACGCGUUAAAUCGACCGCCUGGGGAGUACGGCCGCAAGGUUAAAACUCAAAUGAAUUGACGGGGGCCCGCACAAGCGGUGGAGCAUGUGGUUUAAUUCGAUGCAACGCGAAGAACCUUACCUGGUCUUGACAUCCACAGAACUUUCCAGAGAUGGAUUGGUGCCUUCGGGAACUGUGAGACAGGUGCUGCAUGGCUGUCGUCAGCUCGUGUUGUGAAAUGUUGGGUUAAGUCCCGCAACGAGCGCAACCCUUAUCCUUUGUUGCCAGCGGUUCGGCCGGGAACUCAAAGGAGACUGCCAGUGAUAAACUGGAGGAAGGUGGGGAUAACGUCAAGUCAUCAUGGCCCUUACGACCAGGGCUACACACGUGCUACAAUGGCAUAUACAAAGAGAAGCGACCUCGCGAGAGCAAGCGGACCUCAUAAAGUAUGUCGUAGUCCGGAUUGGAGUCUGCAACUCGACUCCAUGAAGUCGGAAUCGCUAGUAAUCGUAGAUCAGAAUGCUACGGUGAAUACGUUCCCGGGCCUUGUACACACCGCUCGUCACACCAUGGGAGUGGGUUGCAAAAGAAGUAGGUAGCUUAACCUUCGGGAGGGCGCUUACCACUUUGUGAUUCAUGACUGGGGUG